UAACAAAUCAACGAAUCAAGGGAAUUUUCUUUUGGCUUGAGGACAUCUUUGACAUAAGCGACUGUGAGUGUAAAAACUUUGGCACUCUUGCAUCUGAGUAUUUUUGUAAGGGUAAAGUCCAUGGAAUUUUCUGUUGCUUUCAUGGAUAUGUCCAAUAAGGGGUUUGGUUAAGAAAAAGAGCAGCAAAUUUCCUGGUUAGCUGCCUGUGGAUGCACUGAAAGAAAUUAUGAUGCAUUUGAUGAGGUGGUAUUGGUAAAUAAUGAUCAGUUGUUGCCAGGAGCAUAUACGCUAAUAGCAAUUGUAAGUGGUGAACGUAGUUACAUUACAAUUAGAUUGAAACUUUAUUCUAGAUGACCAAUUCUUCAGAAAUUUUCCCCCUUUAGAGGAGGUUCUGUAUAGAUCACCAUCAUGGCCCCAUGGGUUCUAAACUUUACACAUGCAACUUAAGUUGUGGCAUAGUAUCAAUCAUAUAAAUGGCAGCGGGGAAUUAGUAGCCAAUUUGCUGUUUGUUCUUCUUGUUUAGUCGCAUUGUUGCACAUCUCUGGCUGGUUCUUUCUCUCUCUUUCUUUUUAUAUGGUGAUGGGAGUCCAUGAAAACAGCAUAUUUGCAAAGCAGGGAUGCAUCAAUCUUCCCAAGAGUCCAUGCAGCAUUUCUGAUGCAUCCCAGAAUAGAGAAUAAAACAUAUAUAUUUUUGUAAGAAAAACUUCGCCAAAACAUAUUUCAUUUACUUCCCAAUUUUUUAUAAUGGAACUAUAUUUCUGCUGUAGACUGAGUUUCUUCAUUGGAUGGAAAUUCAACUGCUCUCGGGUUUGAUUCAAGACUUGUACGAUUUCCCCGAUUCUAUUUUUUUUUUAAUGGGAGAAUCUUACAGUUUAGAAGCAUUAUUUGCACGAUAUUAAAAUUAUUAAUAUUUAUUUAUAAUUAAUUAUAGUUUCAAAAAUAUAAAUUAUUUAUAUAAAUACGUCUAACUUGAUAUUAGAGAAAUUCUAAUAGUUAAUGGAUUUUCCUAUUUUCUUUAAAAAUUCUUAGUUAAUGUGGUUAUUAAAAUGAUUUUUUAAGUUUUAAUAUUAAAAUAUAUAAAUAAUAAUUUAUAACUUAUAAAAUC
rnacentral:lncRNA from 1 species